rnacentral:rRNA from 1 species
GCAGUGAGGAAUCUUGCGCAAUGGGGGCAACUCUGACGCAGCCACGCCGCGUGCUGGAAGACGGCCCUAUGGGUUGUAAACAGCUUUUGGUCGGGAAGAACCCCGGAGUUUCGACUCCGGCUGACGGUACCGAUUGAAUAAGCACCGGCUAACUCCGUGCCAGCAGCCGCGGUAAUACGGAGGGUGCAAGCGUUGUCCGGAAUUAUUGGGUGUAAAGGGUGUGCAGGCGGAAGUCUAAGUCGGAGGUGAAAUCUUGCCGCUUAACGGUAAAAGGGCCUUCGAAACUGGAUUUCUUGAGUUCGGAAGAGGUUGGUGGAAUUCGUGGUGUAGCGGUGAAAUGCAUAGAUAUCACGAAGAACACCGGUGGCGAAGGCGGCCAACUGGUCCGAUACUGACGCUGAGACACGAAAGCGUGGGGAGCGAACAGGAUUAGAUACCCUGGUAGUCCACGCUGUAAACGAUGCA